UACGUAGGGGGCGAGCGUUGUCCGGAUUUAUUGGGCGUAAAGAGCUCGUAGGCGGUUUGGUAAGUUGGAUGUGAAAUCUCCAGGCUCAACUUGGAGGGGUCAUUCGAUACUGCUAUGACUAGAGUUCGGUAGGGGAGUGUGGAAUUCCUGGUGGAGCGGUGAAAUGCGCAGAUAUCAGGAGGAACACCCGUAGCGAAGGCGGCACUCUGGGCCGGAACUGACGCUGAGGAGCGAAAGCAUGGGGAGCGAACAGG
rnacentral:rRNA from 1 species